CAGAAUGAAGAACAGACUCGUGUUUCAGCCUCUGGAGAGAACAGGCAUUACUGUCAUUUGUCACAUGGAAGUGUACGCUGGCCUUUCCUUCCACGUGGCCUUGGUCUGUAUCUCAUAUGGAGGUGUCAGCGGAGCCCUCUCUCUUCAGGCAUGAAUCUGUUGUGAAUCCCCGAGAUUUAAAAACCGAGACCAGCCCCUCCUUCAGUCACCUUCCCAUUGAGGAUGCUGUGAGGAACUGGGAGCCUGGGCUAACUUGGUGAAGAGACCGGGAAGAGCGGAGGUCCCCAUCUUGCCCACAACCCAUGGACCCAAGGGAAUCCACUUAGGACUCGAUUACUGGGUAAAUGAGGAGAGUGAUUCAGUCAGGUGUAUGUAUCAUGAAGAGAAGUAAAGAUAAUUAAUAUUCUGCACUGAAUGCAGAUCGUACCCACAGCACUUAUCUCGUUUUCAAUUAGCACAAAUGUUACAGCGCUGCGGGCUUGUUAGGGUUUUACCAUGGGCUGGAUAAUUAAUUUCCAUGAGCCACAUAUCAGGCACCUGGUAACGCCGUUUAUUAAUAAAUGUCACCCCAGGUAUCGGUUUGCUAGAAGAGGUAAAUAAACGGAAUGUGCAGUUGUCUGCCUUGCGCAAAUCUGUUUUACACCUCACUGGGUCCUCUCAUGUGUUUGUUUAUUGACUGCCUCUACUACUGAGAAUGCGGCUGCAAACAAAGGAGGUCCCACCCGCCACACAGCCUUCAAGGGCCUCUUUUUCUUCCCCUUGGAGACUUCGGGGACUCAUAAGACAAUCUCAGGACGUCUUAGAAACCAUCCUUCCGAGGAGAUCCGUGGUGAGUGAUUGCAUUUCUCCCAGGGAGCCAAUGCCACUGGUUCUCAGCUCUCCAAGAGUCUUCCGGGAGCAAGAGGUUGGACACACCCCUUUUUGUUCUCCUGGCCAAUCCGUUUGCCCUGACUCUCUCCAACUGCUCCAUGCUGCUUGGGACUCUAGCAGGACCAGAGGCGGGACUCCCGAGCGGAAGUCUAAGAGUUUUGAGAAGUUUUCCAAAUCUCCAAACUCGUGACCUCUUUGUCCAUCUCAAAGUAGGCAAUAGUGGGUUUGUUACUAUGGUUGUUAAAAAUCUGGUGUCUGGGAGAAGGCAGCUCUGUCUGAAAAGUGCUUGCUGUGUAAACAUGAAGACCCAGGUUUAAUCUCUGGCGCCCAUGUAAAAUACUGAGAAUGGGAUCCUAUGCUUGUAACCCCAGCCCUGGGGAGAUCGGACCAGCAGCGUGGCUGGUACUCACUGACCAGCCAGCUUAGCCUAAUAGCUGGGCUUCAGGUUCCAGGGAAGAGAGCUUGUCUCAAAAAGAAGGGAGAUGGCUCCUGAAGACUGAGGAUGACUGACUCCUUCAAGAAUGUACACACAGGUGCUUAUAAAGAUGGACACCACCCAAACACACACACACACACACACACACACACACACACACACACAUACAUACAUACACACACGCACAUGUGCACAUACGCACCCACACCCACAUGCACACACACCCACAUACACACACACAGAAGCAUACAUGCACACACACAUGCACACACACACAGACACACAGUGCACGCGCACCCACAUAUACACACAGUCACACACACAUGCACACACACAUGCACACACACAUGCCCACAUACAUGCAACACACACACACACACACACACACACACACACACACACACACACACACACCCCUGACGACUGCUUUUAAUGCCGUGGGUACUUGCAGAGGGUGGUGGCUGAAGUGUCACUGUCACUCUUGGAAUGCACCAGUUGCAUCGAUGGUAAAUACUCUCCUCCUGUCCCCAAUAAGCUGUGACCUUGGUAAGAAAUUGGCACUGCUCACCUUGUCCUUUGGAGAGUCCCCUUGAGGGAUGUGUGUGAAGAACUCUGUGGUCAUCUGAGUCAGCACACCUUCCUGUGCCAGGCUUUCGGUCCCUACCCCCAUCUGUCACUUUCCACUUGUGGGACUGCAGCUGUGAGUCCUGCACAGGAGAAACACCAAUGUCACGGAGCAGGGGAGAGCUGGAGACGGGUAAUCACCCAACUGGACAAUCUCUGUCACGCGCUGUACGCACCAGAUGUGGGUUUCGGGCUUCGGGUAAAAUAGGCAAGCCCUAUA